rnacentral:rRNA from 1 species
CGUAGGGGGCGAGCGUUAUCCGGAAUCAUUGGGCGUAAAGGGCGCGUAGGCGGAUAUUUAAGUCAGGUGUGAAAACCCAGGGCUCAACCUUGGGAUUGCAUCUGAUACUGGGUAUCUUGAGGACAGGAGAGGAAAGUGGAAUUCCUAGUGUAGCGGUGAAAUGCGUAGAUAUUAGGAGGAACACCAGUGGCGAAGGCGACUUUCUGGACCGUAACUGACGCUGAGGCGCGAAAGCGUGGGGAGCAAACAGGAUUAGAUACCCUGGUAGUCCACGCCGUAAACGAUGAGUGCUAGGUGUAGGGGGUAUCGACCCCUCCUGUGCCGCAGUUAACACAAUAAGCACUCCGCCUGGGGAGUACGGCCGCAAGGUUG